GUAGGUGGCAAGCGUUGUCCGGAAUUAUUGGGCGUAAAGCGCGCGCAGGCGGUCCUUUAAGUCUGAUGUGAAAGCCCACGGCUCAACCGUGGAGGGUCAUUGGGAACUGGGGGACUUGAGUACAGAAGAGGAAAGCGGAAUUCCAAGUGUAGCGGUGAAAUGCGUAGAGAUUUGGGGGAACACCAGUGGCGAAGGCGGCUUUCUGGUCUGUAACUGACGCUGAGGCGCGAAAGCGUGGGGAGCAAACAGGAUUAGAUACCCUGGUAGUCCACGCCGUAAACGAUGAGUGCUAAGUGUUAGGGGGUUUCCCGCCCCCCUUAGUGCUGCAGCUAACGCAUUAAGCACUCCGCCUGGGGAGUACGGCCGCAAGGCUG
rnacentral:rRNA from 1 species